UACGGAGGAUGCAAGCGUUAUCCGGAUUCAUUGGGUUUAAAGGGUGCGUAGGCGGGAUUGUAAGUCAGAGGUGAAAUCCAGCAGCUUAACUGUUGAAUUGCCUUUGAUACUGCUAUUCUUGAAUGUAGUUGGAGUUGGCGGAAUGUGACAUGUAGCGGUGAAAUGCGUAGAUAUGUCACAGAACACCGAUCGCGAAGGCAGCUAACUAAACUAUCAUUGACGCUGAUGCACGAAAGCGUGGGGAGCAAACAGG
rnacentral:rRNA from 1 species